UAAGGGGGAGUCUACUGAUAAGAUGAAUGUUUGGCUUAUGACACAUAGAGUAGAUGACCCAGAGAUUAUCCAGACCUUGGAUGAGUUUAAUCGGCAACUCUCUAUGCUACUUAAGGAUUGUCGGACUUUGGAGGCUAGGAAUGCCAUUUUCCAUGAGUUGAGGGAGGAGCUGCGAGCAGAGUUCUCUACACAUUUACAGCAGAUGAGAGCUGAGAUGAUGGCCUUAGUGUCAUAGGGGGCGAGUGUGGAUCCUAACAGACAGGUUCCUGAUGCAUCGAGUGGCCACCGGGCAUUUAGGGAAUCUACAGAAGACGAGAAUCC